AUGCGCUGGGCUGAACCAGUCAUCAGGGUGAUGGACUUUCCCUCCAGGUCUGAGCCCGAUGACGAUGACACGGCAGGGAAUGUAAACACCUCAUCAUCAUCUGAGCAAUAUCAGGACAAGAGACUGUUAGCAAAGGUGGGCAGGCUGGGGCUGCUGGGUAAAGAACUGUGUGUGAGCGCUCCAGGAGACACAUUGCCCAGCGAAGUUGACCGAGGGAGACGCCGACACGCCAAAACCAGCAGCUCACGACACUGUUUAUGGCAGUUCACACCACAGUCUGAAAACAAACAACAGAGAGUGUGCAUUUAUCUGGAUUUAUAAAUGACAAUGUAUACAAUAAAGAAAAGCUGAAAACAUGGAUGACGGGGUGAAGAGGAAGGGCAUGAAGAGAACAAAAUGGAGAGAGAGAAGCAUGAGAGCAAUUAGGAAUUGGGGACAGAAGCAGCAAGUUCAUGCCAUUUGAGUUUACAGUUUUCUGUACACAGACCCAUGAGUAAUAAACAGGAUACUUCCACACGUUGCACCCUUCCUGUGCAA